rnacentral:rRNA from 1 species
UGGGGAAUCUUGCACAAUGGGGGAAACCCUGAUGCAGCGACGCCGCGUGAACGAUGAAGCCCUUCGGGGUGUAAAGUUCUUUCGACGGGGACGAUAAUGACGGUACCCGGAGAAGAAGCUGCGGCUAACUACGUGCCAGCAGCCGCGGUAAUACGUAGGCAGCAAGCGUUGUUCGGAAUUACUGGGCGUAAAGAGUGCGUAGGCGGUUAACUAAGUUUGGUGUGAAAUCUCCCGGCUUAACUGGGAGGGUGCGCCGAAAACUGGCUAGCUAGAGUGUGGGAGAGGAUAGUGGAAUUCCUGGUGUAGCGGUGAAAUGCGUAGAUAUCAGGAGGAACACCUGCGGUGUAGACGGCUAUCUGGACCAUGACUGACGCUGAGGCACGAAAGCGUGGGUAGCAAACAGG